rnacentral:rRNA from 1 species
GUGGGGAAUAUUCCGCAAUGGACGAAAGUCUGACGGAGCAACGCCGCGCGAGUGAUGAAGGUUUUCGGACUGUAAAGCUCUGUUGUUUAGGACGAAAGUGCCUGUUGCAAAUAGUUACAGGUAUUGACGGUACUGAACGAGGAAGCCACGGCUAACUACGUGCCAGCAGCCGCGGUAAUACGUAGGUGGCAAGCGUUGUCCGGAAUUAUUGGGCGUAAAGAGCAUGUAGGCGGGAAUCUAAGUCUGUUGUGAAAAUGCGGGGCUCAACCCCGUAUUGCGAUGGAAACUGGGUUUCUUGAGUGCAGGAGAGGAAAGGGGAAUUCCCAGUGUAGCGGUGAAAUGCGUAGAUAUUGGGAGGAACACCAGUGGCGAAGGCGCCUUUCUGGACUGUGUCUGACGCUGAGAUGCGAAAGCCAGGGUAGCGAACGGGAUUAGAAACCCGUGUAGUCC